rnacentral:rRNA from 1 species
AGAGUUUGAUCCUGGCUCAGGACGAACGCUGGCGGCGUGCUUAACACAUGCAAGUCAGGGAGAACGGAGCUCUUCGGAGCUCCUAGUAAACCGGCGGACGGGUGAGUAACACGUAGGUAACCUGCCUUAGGGUCGGGGAUAACCUCGCUAACGCGGGGCUAAUACCGGAUAAAGCAACGAAUUCGCAUGGGUUUGUUGUUAAAGUGGGCUUCGGCUCACGCCUAAAGAUGGACCUGCGCCCCAUUAGCUAGUUGGUGAGUUAAAAGCCCACCAAGGCUACGAUGGGUAGCCGGCCUGAGAGGGUGAUCGGCCACACUGGGACUGAGAUACGGCCCAGACUCCUACGGGAGGCAGCAGUGAGGAAUAUUGGGCAAUGGCCGAAAGGCUGACCCAGCAACGCCGCGUGAGGGAUGAAGCUCUAAGGAGUGUAAACCUCUUUCGGGAGGGAAGAACCACUUUAAGGCAAAUAGUCUUAGAGUCUGACGGUACCUCCUAAAGAAGCCCCGGCUAACUCCGUGCCAGCAGCCGCGGUAAUACGGGGGGGGCAAGCGUUGUCCGGAAUUAUUGGGCGUAAAGGGCGCGUAGGCGGAGCGAUAAGUCAGAGGUGAAAAUCCUGAGCUUAACUUAGGACCUGCCUUUGAAACUGUCGUUCUUGAGUGCGAGAGGGGAAAGUGGAAUUCCCGGUGUA